CGUCGACAAUAGAUGACGGGACACACGUUGUACGUUCACAUCAGGUCCCGGCCCGCCAGAACCUGGGCGAUCCACGAUGCCGAGUUUGCCACGCUGCGACAGCCCAUAGGCUUGCCCCCUGGGCAUUCGGGUGGACUACGAACACAAACUGAAGCCCUACGACUUGUCGCCCGUUUGCGCUCUCGCCGAGGCACAGGCUGCUCGCGGACCACCCUGCUCCGAAAACUAAGGUCCUUGAGCAACUGGAGUGUGAAAUGGGACGGACGUCGAAGGACAAGCGGGAUGUCUACUACCGGCUGGCCAAGGAGAAUGGCUGGCGUGCUCGCAGCGCCUUCAAACUGCUACAACUGGAUAAGGAAUUCCAACUCUUCCAAGGAGUGACACGGGCAGUUGACCUGUGUGCAGCCCCGGGCAGCUGGAGCCAGGUGCUGAGCCAGAAGAUUGGGGGCCAAGGGUCUGGCCACGUGGUGGCUGUGGACCUGCAGGCUAUGGCUCCACUACCAGGUGUGGUACAGAUCCAGGGGGACAUCACCCAGCUGUCCACUGCCAAGGAGAUCAUCCAGCACUUUAAGGGCUGCCCCGCGGACCUAGUGGUGUGUGACGGGGCUCCUGAUGUAACCGGCCUCCAUGAUGUUGAUGAGUAUAUGCAGGCCCAGCUCCUCCUAGCCGCUCUGAACAUUGCUACACAUGUCCUGAAGCCAGGGGGCUGCUUUGUGGCCAAGAUAUUCCGAGGCCGGGAUGUGACGCUCCUCUACAGCCAGCUGCAGGUCUUCUUCUCCAGCGUGCUGUGUGCCAAGCCCAGGAGCAGCCGGAACUCCAGCAUCGAGGCCUUCGCUGUCUGUCAGGGCUAUGACCCUCCCGAGGGCUUCAUCCCGGACCUGAGCAAACCCCUGCUGGACCAUUCUUACGACCCAGAUUUCAACCAGCUGGAUGGUCCCACCCGCAUCAUUGUGCCUUUUGUGACCUGUGGGGACCUGAGCUCCUAUGAUUCGGACCGCAGUUACCCACUGGACCUAGAGGGCGGCUCAGAGUACAAGUACACUCCACCCACACAGCCCCCCAUCUCGCCACCAUACCAGGAGGCCUGCACGUUGAAGAAGAAGGGGCAGCUGGCCAAGGAGAUCCGCCCCCAGGACUGCCCCAUCAGCAGAGUGGACACGUUUCCCCGGCCCCUGGCCGCCCCUCAGUGCCAUACCCUGCUGGCCCCUGAGGUCUGGAAAUGUGACUCUCAGCCUGCAUUGACCCCUUCCCCAUGUGCCUUUUUCUGACCCAAAUCUCAUGGUUUCUGGGGCCAAAAUUCCCUUUCUUGCCUCCCAAUAGCUAUAAAAAAUUGGUAAAACCAAGCAUAAUGAAUGGAAAAGUUUCGCCAAAUAUGUGAAUCACUUUUCUUUUUCUUGGGUAGAUGGAAGACAAUGAAAUGAGUUGUUCACCUUAACCCAUUACGCUGGCAAGCUGAUACAACUCAGAAGCUGCUCAAUGUCAGGAAAACCGGAACUUGUUGAUGAACUUGUUUUCAAAAUACCAUCUCAUCAACGAGGCCUGGACAAACAAGCCCUGUGGAGGGAUCUGCAACAACCCUGAAGACAACAAGGAAAGAAACCAUAGAAGUCUGUCUGUACUGCAGUGGGAAUUCUUGAGUGAGGUCUUACCUCUUUAAACCUCUUCAGGAGUGUCCCGAUUAUAUCCAGAAUUUUCCCUAAAGGCAGGGAUUCUUAACCUGGAUAGAAGCCAGGGGUAACCAUGAACUUGAUGGAAGAAAAUGUUACAUCUUUAUUUUCAGCAAUAAAACUGAAAUUUAGCCUUACUCCCAAGUUAUAAAUGCUGGCAACAAAUCACAACAGUAAAAGCAGUACCUGGGAUUUUCCCACCAAUACAAACCAGUUACAGCAACCGUAAUGUAACAUAAAAAGGACAUCUUGAAGUAUUGUUCAUAUUUGUCACCUCUUGGAAUGAUAGCAGAUCCUAUAAAUUGAUGUAUUAAUUAAAAAGCCCAUAUAUUACUGCAUCUCAA